rnacentral:rRNA from 1 species
GUGGGGAAUAUUGGACAAUGGGCGCAAGCCUGAUCCAGCCAUACCGCGUGGGUGAAGAAGGCCUUCGGGUUGUAAAGCCCUUUUGUUGGGAAAGAAAUCCUGUCGGUUAAUACCUGGCGGGGAUGACGGUACCCAAAGAAUAAGCACCGGCUAACUUCGUGCCAGCAGCCGCGGUAAUACGAAGGGUGCAAGCGUUACUCGGAAUUACUGGGCGUAAAGCGUGCGUAGGUGGUGGUUUAAGUCCGUUGUGAAAGCCCUGGGCUCAACCUGGGAAUUGCAGUGGAUACUGGAUCACUAGAGUGUGGUAGAGGGAUGCGGAAUUUUUUGUGUAGCAGUGAAAUGCGUAGAGAUCAGAAGGAACAUCCGUGGCGAAGGCGGCCAUCUGGACCAGCACUGACACUGAGGCACGAAAGCGUGGGGAGCAAACAGGAUUAGAUACCCGUGUAGUCC